GUGUCGGAGCCUAAUGAAGGAAACAUUCUGUAAUCCAUUGAAAUGCAGGUUAUGACUAUAAUGUUGGAUAAAGUUAUUAGCACUAAAACAGAAAGUGUUAAUGUAGACCAGAUUCUAAGAAACAUAGAAGUAAACCGAUUAAAUUUUUUGUAGAAGAACAAAUGGGUAGGAUGGAGACUGUGAAGAAAGGUUCCUCUGCAGAAACCCUGCAUUGAAGGAAAAUCCAGGAGCAGAUAGAGUAGUUGUGAAACAAAGUCUUCCACAGUGCAAAACAGUGCCAAUGGGCAGAACAGGCUCCAGAAUGCAAGCUUUGGAGGCCAGACAUGUUACUAGGCUAUCACAGCAUGUCAAGAGGCUCCCUAAAAAAUGCUAUGUAUUUUGUGAAGAGCCAUUGCAGUGACAAGAUAAGAUGCCACCAAUUUGUGAAAUAAUUGCUGAGAAAAGAAACAUCCCCCUCCAUCUUUUGAGGCAUGGUCUGUAUUCACACCGAUUGAUGAGCUCGACUGUAGACUUACCAAAAGGGCAGUGAAUCUGAUCUCAAUACACUGCUUGAAAAAUAACUACCUUAUGGUAUCCAGAACGUUGUUCAGUGUAUUUUUUAAAUAUUUAAGCAAUCUUUCUUUAAAAAAAAUAUGGUAUGUAUUUCUAUGUAGCAGAAAAGAUCUUGCUCUUAACAAUGGAGAUGGGAGAGGGGAUGGAGAAGGCCAAGGAUCAGAGGUGGCAUUGAGCAUUCACUCUCUCAGGUCUUGGCUGGCUGGUUCCUGCUCAGUAGCUCAGGGCCAUAUACCCCCAGGUCAGAUUGGCAGUGACCGUGCAAUUUUUUCACCUUCCUCUGCAGCAUGGGGUGCAGGUCACUUGCCAGGAU